CACGUAGGGGACGAGCGUUGUCCGGAUUCAUUGGGCGUAAAGCGCGCGCAGGCGGUCCUUUAAGUCUGAUGUGAAAGCCCACGGCUCAACCGUGGAGGGUCAUUGGAAACUGGGGGACUUGAGUACAGAAGAGGAAAGCGGAAUUCCAAGUGUAGCGGUGAAAUGCGUAGAGAUUUGGAGGAACACCAGUGGCGAAGGCGGCUUUCUGGUCUGUAACUGACGCUGAGGCGCGAAAGCGUGGGGAGCAAACAGG
rnacentral:rRNA from 1 species